rnacentral:lncRNA from 1 species
UCUUUUGAACAUGCGCAUUAUGGAAAUUUAUUUCGUUUUUUCUGUAACUGUUUAUAAUGGGUUUUGUUUUCUUUUCAUUCUUAGGUGGAGGAGGGUUGGUUUGAGUGAAUGAAAAGUCAGAGCUUCAUUGACUGAAGAAAUAAUAAAAUAGAAUACUUAAGAAAUUGCAGACAUAAGGUGGAAGCUGACUCUCCAACAAGUUAUUGAAUUUCUGAAUAUCUCCCUAGAGAUUUUGAAGAGGAAAUUUCUCCUUUAGUGAGAUCAGAGACUUUCUCUUGGUUUGAACUGAGAUCUUCUCAUCGUCACAGCAGAAGAGCUUAUGUGGAAUUCUGAUUCAAAGUUCAUAAGUGAGGCAAAAAUCCAGAUGACUGGUGAUGGCUCAGAAUGCAGUGGAAGACCUUUGCAACUCUGGAGACCAAGUUCUAAGUGCUCCACAGUACCCACUUUUAACACGUUGAUGACCAUUGGAACAAAUUGCUCUCAUCUGCCCCUUCCAUUGGGGUAGUCUUCAUAUUAGAUAACCAUCUGACCCCCAACUCACUGACAGGUUGGAGGCAUGUUGGUUACCUUCAACCUGGUUUAGUCUGUCUGCUAAGACUUUUUACCACGGUGUGGCCACUGUACAUGCUACAGUUGAAAGAUAGACAUGAAAGGUAGAUGAGCAGCCAUAAAAGGCAAACUUUCACACUGAAAGGAUUAGUCUUUUUUUUGAGGGGGGGUAGAGCAAGUAUAGAUAUUCCCUCUACAAAUACAGGUCAUGACAUUCUAUGACUUGGCAAAUGGUCUUCAUGGAUUACUGUGGUCCCCAAAUGAAUAAAUCUGUGGCUAAGCUUCUGAUAAGCCUUUCU